rnacentral:rRNA from 1 species
GUCGUAACAAGGUCUCCGUUGGUGAACCAGCGGAGGGAUCAUUACCGAGUUUUCAACUCCCAAACCCUUAUGUGAACCUACCUAUCGUUGCUUCGGCGGACUCGCCCCAGCCGGACGCGGACUGGACCAGCGGCCGCCGGGGACCAUCAAACUCUUGUAUUAUCAGCAUCUUCUGAAUACGCCGCAAGGCAAAACAAAUAAAUUAAAACUUUCAACAACGGAUCUCUUGGCUCUGGCAUCGAUGAAGAACGCAGCGAAAUGCGAUAAGUAAUGUGAAUUGCAGAAUCCAGUGAAUCAUCGAAUCUUUGAACGCACAUUGCGCCCGCCAGCAUUCUGGCGGGCAUGCCUGUUCGAGCGUCAUUUCAACCCUCGACCUCCCUUUGGGGAAGUCGGCGUUGGGGACCGGCAGCACACCGCCGGCCCUGAAAUGGAGUGGCGGCCCGUCCGCGGCGACCUCUGCGUAGUAAACCAACUCGCCCCGGAACCCCGACGUGGCCACGCCGUAAAACACCCAACUUCUGAACGUGACCUCGAAUCAGGUAGGACUACCCGCUGAACUUAAGCAUAUCA